UGGCCAUGAAAAAUCUAAGAUUGAAGGACAGAGAACAUAGAGGAUUUUUUAGUUUUUGGAUUGACCGUUAGUUGCUGUCUUCAACUCUUUGGCUUCUCUCCCUUUCCAGCGUUUUUCUUGUGAGAAAAUGUUAAUAAUUAUGUGAAAAGGUCGACCAAACGUUCUAAAUAUUAACAUUUCGGAUGGACCAACCUUUCCAUCUCUUUUUCCAACCAGCCCCCAUGGCCAUGAAAAAUCUAGGAUUGAAGGACAGAGAACAUAGAGGAUUUUUUAGUUUUUGGAUUGACCGUUAGUUGCUGUCUUCAACUCUGUGGCUUCUCUCCCUUUCAAGCGUUUUUCUUGUGAGAAAAUGUUAAUAAUUAUGUGAAAAGGUCGACCAAACGUUCUAAAUAUUAACAUUUCGGAUGGACCAACCUUUCCAUCUAUCUUUCCAACCAGCUUUUACCUCGCCUUUUUUCCGUUUCAACCACAGCUUCCUAUUUGGCAUUGUCGCAUGUUUUUAUCUUUCAAACAACCCAAACUACUAGCCAUAGACUUUUGAGGCGAGCUUUUUAAGGGUGGGAAUUGUGUCCCGACCCGUGGGCCCCAUAAGUUGAUUUUAGACUCGACCUGUGGGAAUUUAAUGUACUUGUAUAUAUUUUUUAGUUAGGGUCCUUGAUAUCCAUGGUGAGCCUGGCCCAG
rnacentral:lncRNA from 1 species